ensembl:snoRNA SNORA70 Small nucleolar RNA SNORA70
GUGUUUUAUAUUUUAAUAACUUGUGCUUUUUCCCCUUGGGGGCCCAGUGUGCAAGGGCUGCAAACAGUAGGCUCCUUAGUAGUGUAUGCAGCCUGGUGAUUGGGUGGGUUGCCCUAUGGAACCUUGGAGACAGUC